AUUGAACGCUGGCGGCAGGCAUAACACAUGCAAGUCGAGCGCGCGGCGGACGGGUGAGUAAUGUCUGGGACACUGCUUGUUGGAGGGGGAUAACUACUGGAAACGGUAGCUAAUACCGCCUACAAUCAGAUGUGCCCAGAUGGGAUUAGCUCGUGGGUGGGGUAAUGGCUCACCUAGGCGACGAUCCCUAGCUGGUCUGAGUGGAUGACCAGCCGCACUGAGACUUGGACACGGUCCAGCCUCCUACGGUGGGCGGCAGUGGUGAAUAUUGCACAGUGCGCGCAGGCCUGUUGCAGCCGUGCGGCGUGUGUGAAGAGGGCCUUCGGGUUGUAAAGCACUUGCAGCGGGGAGGCGUUACCCGCGGAAGAGGCACCGGCUAGCUCCGUGCCAGCAGCCGCGGUAAUAC
rnacentral:rRNA from 1 species